rnacentral:rRNA from 1 species
GUACACAAAAAUGCACAUAUUGUGAGCUCGAUGAGUAGGGCGGGACACGUGGUAUCCUGUCUGAAUAUGGGGGGACCAUCCUCCAAGGCUAAAUACUCCUGACUGACCGAUAGUGAACCAGUACCGUGAGGGAAAGGCGAAAAGAACCCCGGCGAGGGGAGUGAAAAAGAACCUGAAACCGUGUACGUACAAGCAGUGGGAGCCUCUUAAUGGGGUGACUGCGUACCUUUUGUAUAAUGGGUCAGCGACUUAUAUUCUGUAGCAAGGUUAACCGAAUAGGGGAGCCGAAGGGAAACCGAGUCUUAACUGGGCGUUAAGUUGCAGGGUAUAGACCCGAAACCCGGUGAUCUAGCCAUGGGCAGGUUGAAGGUUGGGUAACACUAACUGGAGGACCGAACCGACUAAUGUUGAAAAAUUAGCGGAUGACUUGUGGCUGGGGGUGAAAGGCCAAUCAAACCGGGAGAUAGCUGGUUCUCCCCGAAAGCUAUUUAGGUAGCGCCUCGUGAAUUCAUCUCCGGGGGUAGAGCACUGUUUCGGCAAGGGGGUCAUCCCGACUUACCAACCCGAUGCAAACUGCGAAUACCGGAGAAUGUUAUCACGGGAGACACACGGCGGGUGCUAACGUCCGUCGUGAAGAGGGAAACAACCCAGACCGCCAGCUAAGGUCCCAAAGUCAUGGUUAAGUGGGAAACGAUGUGGGAAGGCCCAGACAGCCAGGAUGUUGGCUUAGAAGCAGCCAUCAUUUAAAGAAAGCGUAAUAGCUCACUGGUCGAGUCGGCCUGCGCGGAAGAUGUAACGGGGCUAAACCAUGCACCGAAGCUGCGGCAGCGACACUAUGUGUUGUUGGGUAGGGGAGCGUUCUGUAAGCCUGUGAAGGUGGCCUGUGAGGGUUGCUGGAGGUAUCAGAAGUGCGAAUGCUGACAUAAGUAACGAUAAAGCGGGUGAAAAGCCCGCUCGCCGGAAGACCAAGGGUUCCUGUCCAACGUUAAUCGGGGCAGGGUGAGUCGACCCCUAAGGCGAGGCCGAAAGGCGUAGUCGAUGGGAAACAGGUUAAUAUUCCUGUACUUGGUGUUACUGCGAAGGGGGGACGGAGAAGGCUAUGUUGGCCGGGCGACGGUUGUCCCGGUUUAAGCGUGUAGGCUGGUUUUCCAGGCAAAUCCGGAAAACCAAGGCUGAGGCGUGAUGACGAGGCACUACGGUGCUGAAGCGACAAAUGCCCUGCUUCCAGGAAAAGCCUCUAAGCAUCAGGUAACAUCAAAUCGUACCCCAAACCGACACAGGUGGUCAGGUAGAGAAUACCAAGGCGCUUGAGAGAACUCGGGUGAAGGAACUAGGCAAAAUGGUGCCGUAACUUCGGGAGAAGGCACGCUGAUAUGUAGGUGAAGCGACUUGCUCGUGGAGCUGAAAUCAGUCGAAGAUACCAGCUGGCUGCAACUGUUUAUUAAAAACACAGCACUGUGCAAACACGAAAGUGGACGUAUACGGUGUGACGCCUGCCCGGUGCCGGAAG